AUUGAACGCUGGCGGCAGGCCUAACACAUGCAAGUCGAGCGAGCGGCGGACGGGUGAGUAAUGUAUGGGGAACUGCCCGAUAGAGGGGGAUAACUACUGGAAACGGUGGCUAAUACCGCAUACUAUCGGAUGAACCCAUAUGGGAUUAGCUAGUAGGUGGGGUAAAGGCUUAACUAGGCGACGAUCGCUAGCUGGUCUGAGAGGAUGAGCAGCCACACUGGGACUGAGACACGGCCCAGACUCCUACGGGAGGCAGCAGUGGGGAAUAUUGCACAAGUGGCGCAAGCCUGAUGCAGCCAUGCCGCGUGUAUGAAGAAGGCCUUAGGGUUGUAAAGUACUUUCAGCGGGGAGGCGUUACCCGCAGAAGAAGCACCGGCUAACUCCGUGCCAGCAGCCGCGGUAAGUC
rnacentral:rRNA from 1 species